rnacentral:rRNA from 1 species
GAUGAACGCUGGCGGCGUGCCUAAUACAUGCAAGUAGAACGCUGAAGCUUGGUGCUUGCACCGAGCGGAUGAGUUGCGAACGGGUGAGUAACGCGUAGGUAACCUGCCUGGUAGCGGGGGAUAACUAUUGGAAACGAUAGCUAAUACCGCAUGACAACAGUUAUUGCAUGAUAACUGUUUAAAAGGGGCAACUGCUCCACUACCAGAUGGACCCGCGUUGUAUUAGCUAGUUGGUGAGGUAACGGCUCACCAAGGCGACGAUACAUAGCCGACCUGAGAGGGUGAUCGGCCACACUGGGACUGAGACACGGCCCAGACUCCUACGGGAGGCAGCAGUAGGGAAUCUUCGGCAAUGGACGGAAGUCUGACCGAGCAACGCCGCGUGAGUGAAGAAGGUUUUCGGAUCGUAAAGCUCUGUUGUAAGAGAAGAACGAGUGUGAGAG